UGAUGUGGUUUAAUUCGAUGCAACGCGAAAAACCUUACCCACCUUUGACAUGGCAGGAACUUACCAGAGAUGGUUUGGUGCUCGAAAGAGAACCUGCACACAGGUGCUGCAUGGCGGUCGUCAGCUCGUGUCGUGAGAUGUUGGGUUAAGUCCCGCAACGAGCGCAACCCUUGCCCUUAGUUGCUACAUUCAGUUGAGCACUCUAAUGGGACUGCCGGUGACAAACCGGAGGAAGGUGGGGAUGACGUCAAGUCCUCAUGGCCCUUAUAGGUGGGGCUACACACGUCAUACAAUGGCUGGUACAAAGGGUUGCCAACCCGCGAGGGGGAGCUAAUCCCAUAAAGCCAGUCGUAGUCCGGAUCGCAGUCUGCAACUCGACUGCGUGAAGUCGGAAUCGCUAGUAAUCGUGGAUCAGAAUGUCACGGUGAAUACGUUCCCGGGUCUUGUACACACCGCCCGUCACACCAUGGGAGCGGGUCUCGCCAGAAGUAGGUAGCCUAACCGCAAGGAGGGCGCUUA
rnacentral:rRNA from 1 species